UAUUUAAGGCACAGAACCACAGAUGUCAGAGUAAAUACAGACUGCCACAUUACAAUAACUAGACAAGAAUAUCUGCGCAAGCUUUUGAUUUGCAGGAUGAAGACUUUACAUGCAAUCAUGCUGAUGCUGUUUGUUGCAUCAGUCUUUUCAAAACCAUCUCGUCUGCGCAGAUCUGAUUCAGCAGCAUCAGAUUCAGCAGCAUCAGAUUCAGCAGCAUCAGAUUCAGUAGCAUCAGAUUCAGCAGCAUCAGAUUCAGCAGCAUCAGAUUUAGCAGCAUCAGAUGAAACUGGUUCACUCAGUGCUGACAGUCUCAGAGUGGACGAUUCACAGUCAGUUGAGAAUUCUGUUGAGACUAAUUCAUCUUCAGAGGAAGUUAGAGGUACCCCUCCACCAUGAACCAUCAUGACACAAGACAUCACAAACCAUUACUGUGGAUCUGACAACUGAGAUAAUGGGCGAUACUAAUAAAAUCAAUACAAUAUCUUGCAAUACUACUGCUUAAUCAACUUUUCAUGCAAAAAAAAAAAAAAAAAAAAAAAAAUCUAUCUGUGCUAAUGAAGGUCUUGAAACUGAUUGAUAAACUUUUAAAAUUCAUAAUUCAUUACUUUGAAAAGAUUUUAUGUGCUCAUUCAGAAUAAAAAAUCUUUCAAAUGCAA